rnacentral:rRNA from 1 species
GAUGAACGCUGGCUGCGUGCCUAAUACAUGCAAGUCGCGCGAACAGACGAGGAGCUUUCUCCUCUGACGUUAGCGGCGGACGGGUGAGUAACACAUGGAUAACCUACCUAUCAGACUGGGCUAACUUCGGGAAACCGGAGCUAAUACCUGAUAAUAUAUUUAACUGCAUGGUUCAAUAGUGGAAGACGGUUUUGCUGUCACUUAUAGAUGGAUCCGCGCCGCAUUCGCUAGUCGGUAAGGUAACGGCUUACCAAGGCGACGAGGCGUAGCCGACCUGAGAGGGUGAUAGGCCACACUGGACUGGAGAUACGGUCCAGACUCCUACGGGAGGCAGCAGUAGGGAAUCUUCCGCAAUGGGAGAAAGCCUGACGGAGCAACGCCGCGUGAGUGAUGAAGGUAUUCGGAUCGUAAAACUCUGUUAUUAGGGAAGAACAAAUGUGUAAGUAACGAGGCACGUCUUGACGGUACCGAAUCAGAAAGCCACGGCUAACUACGUG